rnacentral:snRNA from 1 species
CCAACGUUUUUCAAAAGA